UGGCGGCAAUAGCGCGGUGGUCCCACCUGACCCAUGCCGAACUCAGAAGUGAAACGCCGUAGCGCCGAUGGUAGUGUGGGGUCUCCCCAUGCGAGAGUAGGACACUGCCAGGCA
rnacentral:rRNA from 1 species